rnacentral:rRNA from 1 species
UACGUAGGGCGCGAGCGUUGUCCGGAAUUAUUGGGCGUAAAGAGCUCGUAGGCGGCUUGUCACGUCGGGUGUGAAAGACCGGGGCUUAACUCCGGUUCUGCAUUCGAUACGGGCUAGCUAGAGUGUGGUAGGGGAGAUCGGAGUUCCUGGUGUAGCGGUGAAAUGCGCAGAUAUCAGGAGGAACACCGGUGGCGAAGGCGGAUCUCUGGGCCGAUACUGACGCUGAGGAGCGAAAGCGUGGGGAGCGAACAGG